GUUAGAGGCGUUGCGGCUGGGCGCAUGCGCACUUCGGUUUAGGCUGCAGGGAGAGACCGGCUCUUGGGGCCAUGACUCCCAUCAAGUUGCUGGUGCAGCCAACGCAGAGGCCGGAAGGCCGCACCUAUGCCGAUUACGGCUCCGUGAACGAAUGCAUGGAAGGCAUCUGUAAGAUGUACGAAGAGCACCUCAAGAGGUUGAACCCUCUCAGCCAGUCCAUCACCUAUGGCGUCAGUCAGCUCUUUGAGUUCAUCGACCGGCUGGUAGACUUCAGCUGCCUGGUGUUCCGAGAAGACACGCAGACCUACAAGCCUCACAGCCGAGAGUGGGUCAAAGAGAGGAUCUACAUGCUUCUCAGUCAGCAGGCACAGCGGGACGGCUCCGAGUGAUCUAGAAGCUUCUGGGGCUGGGGCUGCCUUGGACCACAGGGAAUACUUCUGAUCAAAGCCACAGGAGCAAGCUGUAGUGAUGAGCCAUUUUCCGUGGAAGGCUGCCCCUAACCUGUGAAUAAUUUCUCUUCACAUAAGCUUUGAGAAUAUUUGGUCUUGAAGUUUUUAUUUUCACCUGCCAAUAAAAUUUAAAACAAAUUAUAGUAAAGAA